rnacentral:rRNA from 1 species
UUCGGAUUGUAGUCUGCAAUUCGACUACAUGAAGCUGGAAUCGCUAGUAAUCGCGGAUCAGAAUGCCGCGGUGAAUACGUUCCCGGGUCUUGUACACACCGCCCGUCACACCAUGGGAGUCGGAAAUGCCCGAAGUCUGUGACCCAACCGCAAGGAGGGAGCAGCCGAAGGCAGGUCGGAUGACUGGGGUGAAGUCGUAACAAGGUAAC